GAAUAUUGGACAAUGGGCGAAAGCCUGAUCCAGCCAUGCCGCGUGUGUGAAGAAGGUCUUCGGAUUGUAAAGCACUUUAAGUUGGGAGGAAGGGCAGUAGGCGAAUACCUUGCUGUUUUGACGUUCCCGCCAGACUACGCACCGGCUAACGCUGUGCCAGCCGCCGCGGUAAUACCCAGGGUGCAAGCGUUAAGCGGAAGUACUGGGCGUAAAGCGAGCGUAGGGGGUUCGUUAAGUUGGAUGUGAAAGCCCCGGGCUCAACCUGGGAACUGCAUCCAAAACGGGCGAGCUAGAGUAGGGCAGAGGGUGGUGGAAUUUCCUGUGUAGCGGUGAAAUGCGUAGAUAUAGGAGGGAACACCAGUGGCGAAGGCGACCACCUGGGCUCAUACUGACACUGAGGUGCGAAAGCGUGGGGAGCAAACAG
rnacentral:rRNA from 1 species